AAAUAAGAAGCAAAUAUGCAUUUAAUUUCGACUUAAAAAAUGAGUUUAUUACUCCUUAUUUA
rnacentral:tRNA from 2 species